rnacentral:lncRNA from 11 species
GUUGCUUAAGAUGGCCGCCGUAGCAGAAGUUCGCGAUCGCGAAGUCUUUGUACGGAUUAAUCGUCGCGAUAAUCUUGGGAAUCUUAAGUUUUCAAAUAUGGUGAAAUAAAAAUUUAACGGCCCAUCAGCAAGCGGAGCCAACUCCCAGGACAAUUGCAAUUUCCUCAUGGCAAGUGGCUCACAGCGAAAAACUGUUCAGCCAAACAUAGCGAUUGCCGUCGACCAGCAAUAGUCGUGAUCCUGACCACAAUCCUCGGAAUCCGGAAAGAGGAUCAUUGGAACCUGCUCCAGUAUUACCACCGGAUUUGCCUGUAGAAUGAAGUGCCGUUCCUUCGGAGCCUUAAGCCUUCUUCGGAUGGCACUGGAAAGCGGAGAUUGUCAUCAAAUGGACCCAAUUCAUCCUGCUGUCCAUGGGUGGAAAAAAUCCAAAACUCCUGCCUCCACGAAUACACGACAUGCAAUCGAUGAACCAGAUCAGCCGCAAAAUACAAUGCAACCGAGUGAUCGGCACGAAAAACUUGAACGAGCUUUACGAUUCAUUUCACUCUUGGCUGGAAGAAACUAAUCACUACCUGAAGUGCCUGCAGGCUUGAUUUUAAUCUCUGUCCACUGCGGGUUCUCGGACUAUCACAUGAAGUGCUCCAGUCGUUAUGCUGCAUUAUUUUAAAGUUUUUGAAGCAAUAAAAAUGGAAUAAAUAA